rnacentral:lncRNA from 1 species
AAUCCACCUCUGCAUGUGAUCAUCUGCAUUUGACUCCUUGAACUAUGGCAGCCAGCUGGAGCCAUGAAGUAAGCCACCCUAACAUGAGUGGCAGAAACAUGGAGAGAAUUUUAAAGCUGGACAAGACCCUCAGAAAGCAGAUAAUCAAAGUACCUCAAUCAAUUGAAGUCCUGGGACAUUAAGCAAUUUAUCCAAGGUCACAAAGCAAG